AUGGCGGAGACUGUGAUUCUUCUAGCCAUUCAAAAGAUUGGAAUUGCCUUAGCAAAUGGAGCGGCAAACCAGGCCAGUGCACUGUUUGUGAAGUACGGCACGCAACUACUAAAAUUACAGCGCGGCAUGGAUCGUGUUGUGAGGGAGCUUCGUUUAAUGCAUGAAUUUCUGUGUCAAAUGGACAUUCGAAACCGCAAGAAACAAGCAUAUGAGAUCUGGUUGGGGGAGGUACGGAAAGUAGCACAUCUGAUGGAGGACAUGGUGGAUGAGUACUUGUAUCUAGUUGGUCAGGAACAUGAUGUUGGCUUUUUCUUUUUCCUGAAGAAUGGGUUCAAAAAGCCAAGAUCUCUACUUUCUUUGAACCAGAUAGCUUUUAAGGUGAAGGAAAUAGAGAAAGACCUUUCACACCUGUCAGAGACAAAAACCCGUUGGGUUCUCGUGAACAAUGAGGAUACUAGCAGCUCGGACUACAUUGUUAAGAGGUCCCAAGAGCUAGCAAACAUUUCACGUUGCCUUGAGGAGGAAGAUCUAGUGGGGGUCGACAAGAAAAGAGAAUUACUUCAGCAGUGGUUGGCAGGUGAUCAAUUGGAACGCUCUGUGAUAGCACUGCUUGGAAUGGGAGGGCUUGGUAAAACAGCUUUAGCUGCAAAUGUCUACAGGAAUGUGAGGGAGAAAUUUCAGUGCCAUGCAUGGGUCUCCAUCUCUCAAACUUAUUCUAGAGAAGAUGUCUUGAGGAAUAUAAUCAAGGAACUUUCUAGAGAUAAAGACAGUGUUCUAUCUAACACUGCGGGUAUGGACAUCACAUGCCUUCAAGAGACGCUAAAGAAGUUUCUGGAGCAACACAAGUAUUUGAUCAUUUUGGAUGAUGUUUGGACUCCAGAAGUAUUUAAUGAUUUGUCUAGGAUAUGUAUUCAUAAUGAGAAGGGCAGCCGGCUGCUAAUCACAACAAGGGUAAGCCGUGUUGCUGCGCUUGCCUCUCAAGGGUGCAUCUUAACACUCGAAGCUUUACCCGAAGACAAGGCACGGGAUCUCUUUUGUAAGAAAGCCUUUCCAAGAGAUACGAAUUAUGAAUGUCCAGUGAAGUUGAAGCCUUUGUCUAAUGAAAUAUCUAGCAAGUGCAAAGGAUUGCCUCUUGUUAUUGUGCUAGUUGGUGGCCUCUUCCUUGUGCAUGAGAAAACUGUGGAAGAAUGGAGAAGAAUAAAUGCCCAAUUAAAUUGGGAGCUGAUUAAUAAUCCGGGGUUCGAUCAUAUCAGGAAUGUUUUUCAUCUCAGCUUUAUCUAUCUUCCAACACAUUUGAAAAGUUGUGUCCUGUACUGCAGCUUAUUUCCAGAAGACUAUAUUUUCAAAAGGAAACAACUUGUACGGUUAUGGAUCGCAGAGGGGUUCGUCGAGGAGAGAGGUGAAUGCACAUUAGAAGAAGUGGCGGAGGGAUAUCUAAAGGAGUUGACUGACAGAAACAUGCUACAACUUGUUAAGAGGAACACUUUUGGUAGGGUGAAGAGAUUUAGAAUGCACGACAUCAUUCGUGAUUUGGCAGCUGAUUUGUGCAAGAAGAACUGUUUUGGUGUUACAUAUGACGAUAAUUGUGGGUUGUCUAUUGAGACAAAUGUGCGUCGAUUGGUACUACGCAAACCAAAGAAGGAUAAUCAUCAGCCUUCGGGAGUCAAGAUAUAUGACAGUGCUAGAACUAAGUGGUCUGCCCAUUGA
rnacentral:rRNA from 1 species